GUCUGCAUAGUUUAACUAAAACCUUAGAUUGUGAUUCUAACAACGAAAACUUAAUCCUUUCUGCAUACC
rnacentral:tRNA from 1 species